rnacentral:rRNA from 1 species
CCUACGGGAGGCAGCAGUGGGGAAUAUUGCACAAUGGGGGAAACCCUGAUGCAGCGACGCCGCGUGAGCGAUGAAGUAUUUCGGUAUGUAAAGCUCUAUCAGCAGGGAAGAAGAUGACGGUACCUGACUAAGAAGCCCCGGCUAACUACGUGCCAGCAGCCGCGGUAAUACGUAGGGGGCAAGCGUUAUCCGGAUUUACUGGGUGUAAAGGGCGCGUAGGCGGGGAUGCAAGCCAGAUGUGAAAGCCUGGGGCUCAACCCCGGGACUGCAUUUGAAACUGUGUGGCUGGAGUGUCGGAGAGGCAGGCGGAAUUCUUGGUGUAGCGGUGAAAUGCGUAGAUAUUAGGAGGAACACCAGUGGCGAAGGCGGCCUGUUGGACGAUGACUGACGUUGAGGCUCGAAAGCGUGGGGAGCAAACAGGAUUAGAUACCCUAGUAGUC